GACGAACGCUGGCGGCGUGCUUAACACAUGCAAGUCGAACGGAAAGGCCCUGCUUGCAGGGUACUCGAGUGGCGAACGGGUGAGUAACACGUGGGUGAUCUGCCCUGCACUUCGGGAUAAGCCUGGGAAACUGGGUCUAAUACCUGAUAGGAGCCAUUUUUAGUGUGAUGGUUGGAAAGUUUUUUCGGUGUAGGAUGAGCUCGCGGCCUAUCAGCUUGUUGGUGGGGUAAUGGCCUACCAAGGCGGCGACGGGUAGCCGGCCUGAGAGGGUGGACGGCCACACUGGGACUGAGAUACGGCCCAGACUCCUACGGGAGGCAGCAGUGGGGAAUAUUGCACAAUGGGCGCAAGCCUGAUGCAGCGACGCCGCGUGGGGGAUGACGGCCUUCGGGUUGUAAACUCCUUUCGCUAGGGACGAAGCUUUUUGUGACGGUACCUAGAUAAGAAGCACCGGCUAACUACGUG
rnacentral:rRNA from 1 species